rnacentral:rRNA from 1 species
GACGUAGGAGGCGAGCGUUGUCCGGAAUCACUGGGCGUAAAGGGCGUGUAGGCGGUCAAGUAAGUGGAAUGUGAAAGCCCCCGGCUUACCCGGGGAUCUGCAUCCCAAACUGCUUGGCUUGAGUACGGGAGAGGAUAGGGGAAUUCCUGGUGUAGCGGUGAAAUGCGUAGAUAUCAGGAAGAACAUCGGUGGCGAAGGCGCUCUGCUGGACCAUAACUGACACUCAGGGACGAAAGCUAGGGGAGCGAAUGGG